AGCUGUUCAUGUUUGAAUCUCCUCUUUGAUUCUCCAGUUUGAGCCUUGACAUAUGAAUGCAGCCUGUUUUUAAUCAGGACAUGGACUGAUUGGAUCAAAGUUAUUAGUUUUGCCUGGAGGCAAAAGUUUUUCAGUCAGUAAAGUUUCUUUUGAAGUAUCAGAAUUUGCUUAAGCAGAGGCUAAGGAAAAAAUAAUAUGAGUAUUCAAAACUAAACAAGUAUCACUCAGUUCAUCAAUAAACUCUCUAAUGAGGCUGAAGAUAAGGACACAACAUUGAAAAACUGAGAAACAGCUCGUUAGGAAAUAACUACCCAAAACACCAGAAGAGGCCAAAGAAAGACUUGAUUUCCACUCAGCUCCAGGAUGCCAACUCCUGAAUCUGACAAUAAUACCAUCUAACGAAGGGCUAAAGACCAAGCCAUACAAGCACGCUGUGUACAAAGCUGCCCAUGGCUGAAGAAAGAUCAUUGAUUCACUACAUCUCAUUUGGGAAUUUCCCUCAUCUUCCGGGUCUGAUUUGUACUGUAAAUAUUCAGAGACAAAAAGCACUAGAAUUCCUGGAGUCUUCCACUGCCAAUGGAUAUGAUCGUUUCAAGAGACAGCUAUGGGAUGGCAUGUAGUUUACAGCAAGUUUACUCUAGGUCUUUGGAACACAGGCAUGAAGAUCGUUGUUCCUUUAUAGGUAGCAGUCAGGAUGUGAAAGCUUGCCAGCUUGGUCUGGAAAUUACUUUGUGGCUAGAACUGGACACUUAUUUUCUAGUGCACAAGAUCUUGAAGAGUUUCCAGCUGCACAAGAC
rnacentral:lncRNA from 1 species